rnacentral:rRNA from 1 species
CAGGCCAGCAUCAGUUUGGGCAGCCGGAUAAAGACCUCUGUCAUGUAUCUUCCUCCGGGAUGACCUUAUAGGGGAGGUGUAAUGCGGUUAGCCCGGACUGAGGUCCGCGCAUCUGCUAGGAUGCUGGCGUAAUGGCUGUAAGCGG